AAUUAAGCAUAUUACUAAGCGGAGGAAAAGAAACCAACGGGGAUUCCCAUAGUAACUGCGAGUGAAAGGGGAACAGCCCAGCGCCGAAUCCUGUUGCUGGUAACGGUGACAGGAACUGUGGCGUGAAGAAGGUGGUUACCGGUGUGGCUUGCUUGCGUAAGUUCUCCUGAGUGAGGCUCCAUCCCAUGGAGGGUGCAAGGCCCGUAUCGUGAGCAGUUGAUGCCGGUGUACAUCUUCGGAGAGUCGCCUUGUUUGUGAGUACAAGGUGAAGUCGGUGGUAAACUCCAUCGAAGGCUAAAUAUGACCACGAGUCCGAUAGCGAACAAGUACCGUGAGGGAAAAUUGAAAAGCACUUUGAAGAGAGAGCGAAACAGUGCGUGAAACCGCUCAGAGGCAAGCAGAUGGGGCCUCGAAGGCAAAGCAGUGAAUUCAGCCGGUGUGGUGCGUGGCUGGUUGGUGUUGGGAUCGCAAGACCCUAGCUGAUUAUGCUCGCGUGCUGGCCGGUGCAUUUUCGCUGUUUGUACGUCACCGCCGUUGAGCGAGCAUCCGUCGGGUAUGCGUGUGAAGCCUUAUUCCUUCGGGCGUAGGUGCUUACUGCUAACUUGUACGCGUUUGCGCCUCAACUGGUCAUGUCAGCGUGUGCCAGCGUUAGCGUUGGGCCGGUAUGCUCUGCGGUGUGUUGUGGGAUGACGAGCUUGCUCGGCUCCUCGAUACGCAGUGGACUCGUUGCCGGUUUUCAACGUAGGCACAUUGUAGAUUCGGUGGCGAGUAGACGGCUGCCCAUCUAACCCGUCUUGAAC
rnacentral:rRNA from 1 species